rnacentral:rRNA from 1 species
ACGGCUGAGAACGCACAUCAAACACCCUGCAACGAGGGAGAGACACCGGCGAGUGUUCUAAUACCGCGCCGGUCUUCGGAUUAUGAAAUUUAUGCACCUUCGGGCCGUGCUGGUUUGUAUUAGACAAUGGGUGAUUAAAUGGCUUACCAGGUCAAUGAUGUGUAGCUGGUCUGAUGUAAUGAUCCUGAGACUGGAUCUGACACACUGGCCCUACUCCUACGGGAGGACUCCUAGAGGAAUAUUUCACAAUGAAAUUUUGCUUGAGGGAGCAUGCCUGAUGCAGGAUUCCGGCCCUCGGAUUGUAAACUGCUUUUAUGAGACUGAUUUUGACGGAACUUAUGAAUCUGGGACGGCUAACUACCUGCUGACAGCCCUGGUCAAACAUACGUCCCGAACGUUCUCGCCAGUGACUGGGCGUAUACAGUUGCGGAAGCGGUCAAGCUAAAUAGCGGUGAAAACUAUCGGCUCAACCGAUUUCUUGUUGUUCAAACUGCUUGACUCGAGAGUAUCUGAGGUCUGUGGAGUUCCUAGUGUAGCUGUGAAAUGCGUAGAUAUUAAUGAAGAACACGCGAUGGCGUAGUGCAGUGCACUGGAUAUAUGUCUGACGAUCAGUGGCGAAAGCGUGCUCUCUGGCUUGUGAUUGAAUACUGAGGCUCGUCCA